UACGUAGGGUGCAAGCGUUGUCCGGAAUUAUUGGGCGUAAAGAGCUCGUAGGCGGUCUGUCGCGUCUGCUGUGAAAACUCAGGGCUUAACCCUGAGCUUGCAGUGGGUACGGGCAGACUAGAGUGCGGUAGGGGAGACUGGAAUUCCUGGUGUAGCGGUGAAAUGCGCAGAUAUCAGGAGGAACACGGGUGGCGAAGGCGGGUCUCUGGGCCGUAACUGACGCUGAGGAGCGAAAGCAUGGGGAGCGAACAGG
rnacentral:rRNA from 1 species